AAACGAGCAAAACUCUCACAGAAAGGAGACUAAAAAGAGAACAUCCCACUGACCUCAGUAAAGAAAUAAAAUAGUCAAUCUUAAAGAUGGUAUCCCGCUGAGGUUAGCCAUCCACAUGUUAUUCAGCAAUUAAGUUAGAAACAUUUACUGAAUAUCCAGCUGGACAAAUUGUAAAGUACAAAUUAAAUAAUAA